UACGUAGGGUGCAAGCGUUAAUCGGAAUUACUGGGCGUAAAGCGUGCGCAGGCGGUUCGCUAAGACAGAUGUGAAAUCCCCGGGCUUAACCUGGGAACUGCAUUUGUGACUGGCGGGCUAGAGUAUGGCAGAGGGGGGUAGAAUUCCACGUGUAGCAGUGAAAUGCGUAGAGAUGUGGAGGAAUACCGAUGGCGAAGGCAGCCCCCUGGGCCAAUACUGACGCUCAUGCACGAAAGCGUGGGGAGCGAACAGG
rnacentral:rRNA from 1 species